AGUGAACGCUGGCGGUAGGCCUAACACAUGCAAGUCGAACGGCAGCACAGUAAGAGCUUGCUCUUACGGGUGGCGAGUGGCGGACGGGUGAGGAAUACAUCGGAAUCUACUUUUUCGUGGGGGAUAACGUAGGGAAACUUACGCUAAUACCGCAUACGACCUACGGGUGAAAGCAGGGGAUCUUCGGACCUUGCGGGAUUGAAUGAGCCGAUGUCGGAUUAGCUAGUUGGCGGGGUAAAGGCCCACCAAGGCGACGAUCCGUAGCUGGUCUGAGAGGAUGAUCAGCCACACUGGAACUGAGACACGGUCCAGACUCCUACGGGAGGCAGCAGUGGGGAAUAUUGGACAAUGGGGGCAAGCCUGAUCCAGCCAUACCGCGUGGGUGAAGAAGGCCUUCGGGUUGUAAAGCCCUUUUGUUGGGAAAGAAAAGCAGCAGGUUAAUACCCCGCUGUUCUGACGGUACCGAAAGAAUAAGCACCGGCUAACUUCGUG
rnacentral:rRNA from 1 species